CUGGAAAACUUCAUAUGCUCUUGAUGUUUUCAGGAAUAUGAGAAUCUGCAUUAGUAGCCUUGAAUAAAGUCAGAAGCAAAAAAGCUGAGCUAUUCAGUAGUGACACCAUGCACUGUAAAUGGAAAACAGAUAUGAAAAUGAAGUCCAUCCGGAGAUACAAGAAAGUAAAGAAACAAGUGAUUUUCAGGUCACUGAUGAGUGCUUGACCUGUGAGGGGAAAAUGCAUAUCUUCAGGUCACUAGCUUUCAGAUGAGGCCAUCUGCUUCAAAUUGGUGGGAAAAAAAUGGCAGUCUCCUGCUGAAAAUUAAUAAAUUGAUUCAGACAUGCUCCGGAAAUUGUACUGUGCAAGAGGGAAUAAUUUAUUUAUGACCUCAUCUGGAGAUCACCUUCUGCCUCAAAUCACAAAGACUAUAGAAGGAUACUGGCAAAAGACAUUUUAGAAUAGUAUCCGUAGAAAAACCUGCUAUUGGAUGGACCAGCCCUGUCCGCAGAAGACGAAGCUUAGUAUGAAGAUCCAUGUGCUCAAACAGCAAGAAGAUAACAAUGACAGACAUGUUGCCAAAAACUGGAACUGAUGCUGCUAAAGAGCAUCAGAGUUUAGUUUGACUCCACUUCCCAGAUACAGCCUUCCUCAGAGACAACACGUCUUUAUCUGGACAAAGAAUCUUUUCCCUUAUGACAAAAAUGACAUCAACCUCAACAUAUCUUAUUAAGGACAGCAUCAAGUCUAAGAAGACAUGUAUUUGUGAAGAGAGGUUGCUAUGGUGCUGUAUGCAGUGUCUGGAAAUCGGAGUUGGUGAAGAUAUAUUGUAGCUAAAAGAGACAAGAUCUCCCAUGGUUCAUCGUUACUUCUUGUCAGCAAGGACCUAAGUACAUUCAUCUCCCUUUCCUGCAAGUGAGUGAUGAUGAAGGAAGUAAAGAGAUGUAUAAAGUACCAGACAGUGGCAGAAAUGAGGAACUAAGGCUUUCCUUCCCAAUAAAAUCUCCAAAUGCAAUAAUGCUGUUUUCUGUGGAAGAAGAAUGUUGCUCUUUAAAAAGUAAGUGGCUCCCAGAUAAGUUUUGUG